rnacentral:rRNA from 1 species
AUUGAACGCUGGCGACAGGCCUAACACAUGCAAGUCGAGCGAGCGGCGGACGGGCGAGUAAUGUAUUGGGAUCUGCCUGAUCGAGGGGUAUAACUACUGUAAACGGUGGCUAAUACUGCAUACUAUCGGAUGGACCCAUGUUGGAUUAGCUAGUAGGUGGGGUAAAGGCUCACCUAGGCGACGAUGUCUAGCUGGUCUGAGAGGAUGAUCAGCCACACUGGGACUGAGACACGGCCCAGACUCCUACGGGAGGCAGCAGUGGGGAAUAUUGCACAAUGGGCGCAAGCCUGAUGGAGCCAUGCCGCGUGUAUGAAGAAGGCCUUAGGGUUGUAAAGCACUUUCAGCGGGGAGGCGUUACCCGCAGAAGAAGCACCGGCUAACUCCGUGCCAGCAGCCGCGGUAAUAC